GAUGAACGCUGGCGGCGUGCCUAAUACAUGCAAGUCGAGCGAACAGACGAGGAGCUUGCUCCUCUGACGUUAGCGGCGGACGGGUGAGUAACACGUGGAUAACCUACCUAUAAGACUGGGAUAACUUCGGGAAACCGGAGCUAAUACCGGAUAAUAUAUUGAACCGCAUGGUUCAAUAGUGAAAGACGGUUUUGCUGUCACUUAUAGAUGGAUCCGCGCCGCAUUAGCUAGUUGGUAAGGUAACGGCUUACCAAGGCAACGAUGCGUAGCCGACCUGAGAGGGUGAUAGGCCACACUGGAACUGAGACACGGUCCAGACUCCUACGGGAGGCAGCAGUAGGGAAUCUUCCGCAAAGGGCGAAAGCUUGACGGAGCAACGCCGCGUGAGUGAUGAAGGUCUUCGGAUCGUAAAACUCUGUUAUUAGGGAAGAACAAAUGUGUAAGUAACUAUGCACGUCUUGACGGUACCUAAUCAGAAAGCCACGGCUAACUACGUG
rnacentral:rRNA from 1 species